UACGGAGGGUGCAAGCGUUGUUCGGAAUCAUUGGGCGUAAAGCGCGUGUAGGCGGCUUGGUAAGUCGGGUGUGAAAUCCCGGGGCCCAACCCCGGAACUGCAUUCGAAACUGCCUCGCUAGAGUCCCGGAGAGGAAGGCGGAAUUCCCGGUGUAGAGGUGAAAUUCGUAGAUAUUCGGAAGAACACCAGUGGCGAAGGCGGCUCACUGGACCGGCAUUGACGCUGAGGUGCGAAAGCGUGGGGAGCAAACAGG
rnacentral:rRNA from 1 species